rnacentral:rRNA from 1 species
ACCCGCUGAAUUUAAGCAUAUAAGUAAGCGGAGGAAAAGAAACUAAACCGGAUUCCCUAAGUAAUGGCGAAUGAACAGGGAUGAGCUCAUUGUUAAAAUCAGGGUCCCCGACUCUGAGUUGUAGCCUGGAGAUGCGUCGCCAACAGGGGCGUAGGUGCGAACCUCUUGGAAAAGAGCAUCAAGGAGGGUGAGAAUCCCAUGCAUCACCUGUGGCCCCCUGUGCUCGGCGCGCUUUCUAAGAGUCACGCUCCUCGGGAUUGGAGCGCAAAGUGGGUGGUAAAUGCCAUCUUAAGCUAAAUAUGGGUUCGAGACCGAUAGCAAACAAGUACCAUGAGGGAAAGGUGAAAAGGACUUUGGAAAGAGAGUUAAAAGUGCCUGAAAUUGCUGUAAGGGAAGCGAAUGGAACCAGUCAACCUCGGCGAGAUUGCUGCGCGCUCAAGUGAGGCCCUGCUCCGGUUGUGCAAACACGGCUGCAGGCGUCGACCUGGUUGCGCGUGGUCGCUUCUUGCUCUGGGUGUCAGCGUCAGCUCAACUCUGAGGACAACCCCAAGGACAUGGAAGGCCGCCCCCGGGUGGCUGAAGUUGCUUGGCGGAACUCAAGCGUGGACUGCUGGGCGCAACGCGCCUGCGCUGACGACAUGGAUUCGUUCGGCCCGUCUUGAAACACGGACCAAGGAGUCUAGCAUAUGUGCAAGCACAUGCGUGUUAAACCUAAGUGCGCAAUGAAAGUGACUGCUGGGAUCCUUGCACCAGCAACCGACUGAUCAAUUGGGAGAGGUUUGAGUUUGAGCAUAUAUGUUAGGACCCGAAAGAUGGUGAACUAUGCCUGAGAAGGACAAAGUCAGGGGAAACUCUGAUGGAGGUUCGCAGCGAUACUGACGUGCAAAUCGUUCGUCAUACUUGGGUAUAGGGGCGAAAGACUAAUCGAACCAUCUAGUAGCUGGUUCCCUCCGAAGUUUCCCUCAGGAUAGCUGGAGUUGCACAGUUUUAUCAGGUAAAGCGAAUGAUUAGAGGAAUCGGGGGCGCGUUGUCUUCGACCUAUUCUCAAACUUUAAAUGGGUAAGAACCUGUUGUUACUUCACUGAACUUCAGGGGCAAAUGACAACUCUAAGUGGGCCAUUUUUGGUAAGCAGAACUGGCGAUGAGGGAUGAACCUAACGUUGGGUUAAUGUGCUUAACUGCUCGCUCAUCAGAUACCAUAAAGGGUGUUGGUUCAUUUGAACAGCAGGACGGUGGUCAUGGAAGUCGAAAUCCGCUAAGGAGUGUGUAACAACUCACCUGCCGAAUGGACUAGCCCCGAAAAUGGAUGGCACUCAAGCGUGUGACUGAUACCUGACCACUGAUGCAAACCGUCUUCAGUGAGUAGGAGGGCAUGGGGGUCGUAGCGCAGCUCUUGGCGUGAGCCUGAGUGGAACAUCCCCUAGUGCAGAUCUUG